rnacentral:rRNA from 1 species
AUUGAACGCUGGCGGCAUGCCUAACACAUGCAAGUCGAACGUGAAAGAGGGGCAACUCUCGAGUAAAGUGGCGGACGGGUGAGUAAUACGUAGGAAUCUGCCCUAGAGUGGGGGAUAACCUGCCGAAAGGUGGGCUAAUACCGCAUGAUCUCUAAGGAGCAAAGGUGCCCCGUAGUAAUACGGGGCUUCGCUUUAGGAUGAGCCUACGUCGGAUUAGCUAGUUGGUAGGGUAAAGGCCUACCAAGGCAACAAUCCGUAGCUGGUCUGAGAGGACGAUCAGCCACACUGGAACUGAGACACGGUCCAGACUCCUACGGGAGGCAGCAGUGGGGAAUAUUGGACAAUGGGGGAAACCCUGAUCCAGCAAUGCCGCGUGUGCGAUGAAGGCCUGCGGGUUGUAAAGCACUUUCGGUGGGGAAGAAAUGCUCAAAUAUAAUACAUUUGAGAGCUGACGUUACCCACAGAAGAAGCACCGGCAAACUCUGUGCCAGCAGCCGCGGUAAAAC